GUGUUGAUUUAUCGUUCAGUCAUUCAUGUCGACUGAUAAAACUGGUUUACAUCAUCGCCCGGGAGGUCGUUUGACAACAUGAUGUCUAACAUGCGGGACUUAGCUUGGUAUCGAGUUUAAAAUGAAUUGGAUAAAAAAUGAAGUCCUCAAUAUGUACGGUUGAAUUAAACACUUCAAAAUUAUGAACUAAAUUUGCUUGAAGGUUGCUUGAAACAUUGACAGAGUGCAGCUUUAUGAACGGAUAUACCUAGUUACUAUAAAUUGACUUUUCUUGUUUACUUUUUGGUGCUAUUGAAUCUCAAGUGAUCUGACGUACUCGGUUAAUAUAUAUGCGUAUGCUUAUUGAUAAAAAGUUCAUGUUGUAUGUCACUGAAAUAACAACAAAUUUGGAUAAAAUCUUGUUGGAAUGAAAUUUUGUACAAGAGUUGGGAGAAUAAUCUUGAUGAGUGCAAUUAGGGUUAAAGUUAUUAGUAGAACAUCAUUAUCAUUCGUUUCUUAUGAUGAAGGAGAUUUGUACCAGACAAAAGAUUUUUCUUGUAGAAACUUUAUUUGAUUCCUAGUUUUUUGUUUUUUUUUUCUUUUCACAGUUGUUAUUAUUUUAGAGAACUCAUAUAUUCAUAUUCACAAAAUGGUUUGAUUACUCACUCUGGACUGAUUGUGCUUAAAAUUCUCAAUACAUUAAAAAUAACUCUAUUUUGUUUUGGACAGCCGCAAUGGCCAACAAGUGGUCGAAGUCUGCCGAAGAUACUUCGUCCCUUAAUGCUUAUGGUCAAGCCAAUUGUUCAAUUUCUUUUGCUGCUUUGGUAUAUUUGCAUGAAGAUACCGGCAUGCAAAUAUACCGGCUCCUGAUUUCUUUAUAGUCCAGGUGAGCUUCAAACAUGUACUCAUUCAGUCAUUAGAAAAGUGACAUUUAAUGGGAUCAUAAUUUUUUGUUAUCUCAUUGUCGUAUGAUUGGCUUUAAUUUUAUGCUACUGCUGAAUUUUGUGAAACUUUUUUAUUAGGUUCAGACUCUCACACUGCCAUUUUAGAGAACUCAUCUGUGUAUGUAUUGCUUCUUUCGACUGGAGUUGCAGUGAAAUUUGCAAGUCAAUAGAGAAGAUCAAAUUUGCGCAACUAGAUUGUGAAUGCAAAGUACAAGUUAUGGAGCCACGGCAUGUUUUGCACACAAAUGACUCGAAAUUCAAAUGUGAACUAUUCAUUUUGUACAAACCCUUGAUUCGAUUUUGACUAAAAUGGGGACAAAAAUGUGUCGGGGCUUCACUCUACAUUGGAUCAGAAUCACCCAUCAAGCAACCAAACGAAAACAAUACAACAAAAUAAAGCCAUUUGAGUUCCAGUCGAUUAAUCUGCUUUCACAUUUUAAUUGUAAAGAAAGUUUUCACUAUUUGUUCAUUCUGUAUUAUGUCCUCAAAAUUUUUUAUUUAUCUUCAAUUAAUUAGCUUAUUGUCUCUGAUAACAAUUAUGUCCAAAUAUUUAGGUAGCAGACUAAAAUGAGAAAGAUUUUAUCAAACGUUGUAUUUGCUUUUUAGUUAUAUAAAUAUAUGAGAUGCAACUUGUUG
rnacentral:lncRNA from 1 species